GUGAAUGUUAUUCACGUUAUGUAAAAGUAAUAUUUUAUGAUAGAUUACACCUCUAAUUCGAAGGAUCUAAGGAGUCCCGGCGACUCUGUUCAUACUGAGGCGGGCCCGAGUGCGCGAGCGGACCUGCCGUGUGGCUGUCGUAAAAAAAGUUUUUGUAAACAUCCGGUCCAUUUAACACAGCGCUGCGUCAUAAAGCUGGAGCGCUGGGAAGACGACGAUGUUAUCUUCCUUCUGUCAGGAGGAUCCAAGUGAAGCUACAGGAGUUUCAGCAACGUCAAAAACUUGGACCGAACUGUUUGUUUUGCUUGAUGAGGAACAGGAAGGGAAGACUGGAGAGAAGGAGAAGCCGAGUGGAGGCCACUCCACCAUCCACAUACAUCGAAGAAGAUGAGGGAGAGAAAUUAUCCUACCAUUAAAGAGGGUGAUACAAUCAUAUACUUUUUCAGUGGACAUUGCUGAUCUAGUUGAAAACCUUGUAAGCUGUGGAUUGGUUCACUAUAUAUGAGGAUCUCAAGACUGCGGUUCCGGGAAUGUCACAUCAAGCUUUUGUUAGCAUGCCUGAACAUCGCACAAAAGUCUUAGGCCGUUGAGUAUAAAAUGGAAGUAAUUACCCACUGCUUGCAAUAUGUUUCCCAUAUAUUUACUGUAAUAUAGUGUUUGAUUUUUGUCUUUUUCUAGCAGAUUGUUAAGAUAUGCAGGGAUACCAUGCUAAAUGCAUUACUGGAAUAGACCCAUGCCAAAUUUGAAGUUGAGGGGCUGUUUCAGGUGCAGCAUUCAGUGCCCUGCGUGCACACCCUCCCUGUUGGCUUUUGCAGUGCAUGGGAUCCGUAAACUGUACGGCUUUAAGAGCCAACGCACCUGUCGCCUGUCUCAAGAAAUACAUGUGCAAAGUUUUCCUCUGUUAUGUAUAAUGAUGACCCCCAUCAAACAUAAUGUUAGCAAUAUUUACACCUUUUAAUUUAUACGGUUUAUUUCUGUUAACAUGUGUGAAUUUGCCUUCAUUAGUUUCAGAAAAGAGCGAUGAUGUACCGGUCAGGCGGCGGCAGCACAAGACUCGGCAAACUAGUCUGUAAGCAGAGUAGAUGUAGGCAUUGAGGUUGCCGUCUACCAUCAUUGUUAUUUUGCUUAAGGGACUGAAUACGUUUCAUGCAGAAAUAUUUGCAUUUCCCUUAUAUAUACAAAAACUGCUUGUUUCACAGACUGCAUUUUUGUUUUGCUCCCAUGUGGUGUGCAAAUACUAACCGUAUCUGCAAUGUGUUGUGCGGCAUUAACAUUUUGUAAAUCUAAUUUUGUUUUGACAGACUGUGCAAAGGACCUUGAGAUCAUCCCCACUCUACAGGAAGACACAGUCCAGUAAUGGGUGUCAGAAGUUCAGUAGUGGACGACAAGUACUGUGGAAAAAAUGGAGUACUGAGGCAUUUACAGAGACGGGACGUGAGGGCCUACUCUGCGUGCUCAAGAGAAGAUUGCACAGAGUUCAAGCUCAGCAGGCUGCAGCAGGUCUGACAUAUUGUGGAACGGCAACAAUGUCUUUGGAUGACUCCUGACUGAUGAAGAACUGUGAGGGCUGUGCUUUGACAGGAUGAAUGUCUGAUGUGGCUGGAGACCUUACCUGUUCCUGGAGGGGGGCAUUUGUCACAGUGAGGGCCCCAGGCUUUGCCCACACUGCAGCAGCAGAGCUGUUUACUCAGCUGGGCAGAAACUGGGUGCAAACACUGUCUGCCUGAGCUGACCAAACGGAAGCAAGCCCCCUUCUCCUCUUGGAUGGCAGGAGUGUCGGCUGAAGAGGAGCGCAGAAGGUGGACAGAAGGAGGAGGGGGAGGUGUAGGAAGUGGAGCACCAGAGUGUAGGAGACAUAUACAUGGGAGAAAGAGAGGACAGAGUGGAGAAAUAAAGGGGUCCCUUUCACCAAAACAUGUCCCCUUCUCACCUGUACAGAAUUGUGCCCUUAACACUACAGUCUAAACUUUUUUCUAAAUCACCAGACUACAUAAAGCAAAACAUAUUUGUUACAGUGAGAAGUGGGGAAACUAAAUAUUGUGCUGGCACAAACAAUGACAAUGAUACAGUUUAAGAUUUUACACAAAACACAGACAUAGAAAGCACAUACAAUAUGUUGCAGGAAAGAAGCACAUACAAAAACAUGGCAAAAUUUCAUGCACUAUGAAGGUAAGGCGUUGGCUCAGAUUUAGGCAUGCAGGAGGGUUUGGCUUGGUCUGUGUUUUCCGAAUCCUUGAGUUUUCCAUUUUGUCUGAAACUAGUUUUCUCUGGGACCCUACCUAAUGUAACCAGUGAGGACAUGGUAAGUGCACAUCAUUGAUAUGAAACAGUCAGGAACUUGGGAGUGAUCUUUGAUCCUGAUUUGUCCUUUAAUUCACACCUACAACAAAUCUCUAGGACAUCCUUUUUCCACUUGCGUAAUAUCUAAAAAAUUAGACAUGUCCUUUCGCAACAAGAUGCAGAAAAACUAGUCCACGCCUUUGUUACAUCGAGACUGGACUAAUGUAAUUCAUUACUAUCAGGCUCCAGCAGAAAGUCGUUAAAGACUCUACAGCUUGUCCAAAAUGCCGCAGCACAUGUCCUGACGAGAACCAAGAAAAGAGAGCACAUUUCUCCAGUAUUAGCAUAGCUCUACUGGCUUCCGGUUAAAUCUAGAAUAGAAUUUAAAAUUCUCCUCCUCACCUUCAAGGCCCUUAAUAAUAUGGCGCCUUUUUACCUUAAAGAGCUGUUAAUACCCUAUCAACCCACUAGAGAACUCCACUCCCAGAAUUCAGGCUUACUUGUCGUCCCUAAAGUCUCUAAAAGUAGAGUAGGAGCCAGAGCUUUCAGCCAUCAAGCCCCUCUGCUGUGGAAUAAUCUACCACUUUCAGUUCGGGAGGCCGACACCAUCUGUUCGUUUAAGAGUAGGCUUAAAACCUUCCUUUUUGAUAAAGCUUAUAGUUAGAGCUGGUCCAGUCUUACACCUGCUCUUAGGUAUGCUGCUAGAAGGUUGAUUACCUCAACUGGCGCUAUGCCUUAAUUAGUGCGGCAGAACUUAACUUAUCUUAUGUUCUAAAAUAGGAGGCGUUUAGUUUAAAAAGGCAUAGAGGUAUUGAUAUCUGAUCUACUGAGUGGGCCACAUGGUUUUCAUCGUAGUACCAUACAAACCAGUAGCCAGUCAGAUUUACCUUGAGCCUCAGUGUACCCGCAAGUUUGGCAUGUAUCAUUGUAUCAUUGAUUACAAGGCAAAAACACCUGAUGGUGCAGAGGAAAUUUAUGACACAUGACACACGGAGCUUCUCUUUCCAACUUCUCCUUCCUCUUCUCCAUCCUUAUCACAUCAAAAUAAUUCAUAUCACAUCAAUACAUGUUUCUGACUUGACCCCUCCAAACAGAAAGUACAAGUCAGGCACACUAGCUGCUGUCUGAGUAUGUACUUAUAGACACAGCCGUGCUAAGCUAAGUUUUAUGUCCGAUUGCUGUUUUAUGUCCAACGCACCAACCCCACCCAGUCAAUUUCCUGUAUGGAAUUCUGAUUAUUCGAUCAUGGAGAAAACACUUUCAUAAUAACAGUGCUGAUAUGCUGAUGUCUACCAGUUUGUUUAGCAAGAUAGCAAAAUAUGUUUGUUUUUAUGUUUGUUUUGUUUGAUGAGACAAAAAAAAGCUUUUGGUCAUAAUACUGUGCAAAACUUUUGCAAAAAAUGGAUAGCAGCUAAUAGGUUAUUUAGUUUCCUAAAUGUUCUUAUAUUUUAGCUCUUUAUUCUCUCAGAUUUGUCAAGGCCAUACUUUUGAUCAACAUCAAAAACUGCUGUCAAACCUCACCAAGGUUGAACUUGAAAAAAAAUAUUUAUUGGAAUUUACCCAAUGUCCAGCACAUGUUUAUAAUAGUCAAAUCUUUUGUUUUAGCUUUUGCUGUAAUUUACCUACAUUUUCGAUCAUAAUUAAGCUAUGUGCUUAGUGAUUGUGAAUGCACAACUGUUUUAGAAAGCUGGUAACAAUAACACUCCUUUGCUGAACCUUUGUUAUCAUUACUAGCUGUGGUGACGGAUGGACACUUGGCUUUCCUUGGCCAUGAGAUAUAAAGAGAACCAAGACACAUACACAGUACGAGUGCUGUAUUACUCAAUUCCAGAGCCCAAGCCCAACUGACUCGACUCAACUCAGACUUGAGGUUUAGUGACUCAGCGACAACACUGUAUAGUAUGCAGACAAACACAUGUACAUUACAAAACCAGGAAAACACAUGCUCAAAACAUGUCAACGUAUAAAGAAAACAACAAUGAGUACAGCUGAUUAAUCAUCAAAAGGAGCAGCUUUACUUCAAAAUACAUCUUCCUACUGUUUCUUCUUCUCUACCCCCUCAUAUUAUGCUGGGUUUUUUGUUCUGUGAUACAUGCUAGAGACAGCAUCUGAUUAUUAAAGAAACACCAUGCGUUUAUCCAUGCACUGCAUUCAAAUGUAUAUUAACCAGCACAAUUUCCUUAGCAUCAUUCCUAGCAGCCUUUACUAUCUAGCUAGUACUUUGGAGCAAUUGACCAGGAAAAUCAAUGGAAUAUCCCCUGUCAUAAUAUGAUCACAAAGGUGCCACUCUUAUAUGAACAUUUUCCAAUUAUAAAUCUGCACAUUAAAGAAAA